rnacentral:rRNA from 1 species
UACGGAGGGUGCAAGCGUUGCUCGGAAUCACUGGGCGUAAAAGGCGUGUAGGCGGUCUCGUAUGUCUGACGUGAAAGCCCCGGGCUCAACCCGGGAAGUGCGUUGGAAACUGCGAGACUAGAGUCUCGGAGAGGAAGGUGGAAUUCCAGGUGUAGCGGUGAAAUGCGUAGAUAUCUGGAAGAACACCGGUGGCGAAGGCGGCCUUCUGGACGAUGACUGACGCUGAGACGCGAAAGCGUGGGGAGCAAACAGG